rnacentral:lncRNA from 1 species
GUUUUUUCGCGCUCAAUUGUCGUUAGGUAGGCCAUAUGGCAUGGCUCAAACGUGGCUUAUAUGCUUUUAGGCGUUGUAAGCUAACGGAUGCGAUCAUACCAACUCACAUGCACCGGAUCCCAUCAGAACUCCGAAGUUAAGCGAGUUUGGGCGAGAGUAGUACUAGGAUGGGUGACCUCCUGGGAAGUCCUCGUGUUGCAUCCCCUCUUUUUGUCUUUUUGACGUUUCAAUUGUCGUGGGCGUUUGCUUUCCGUCGUCUUAUUCAUCUGGCUGUCUCUGUUUUUCCACGACCCCGUGACGCAGCGUGGCAAUCGGGGGUAAAGUACGCUUAAACACUCGUCGAAACCCCGCAAAGGAAUCAAAAUACGAAAAUGACAAAGUUUCCCAAAACUGAAUUUCGCCCCAGCAAACGGCGUCGGAUGCCCGAAAAAGCCCGUCGGUCAUGGCAGCGCGAUGAGUUUUACUCGUGACGCCGUUCUCUUCAAAUCGACUGCUCGUGGGCCUAAUUCUGAGGUCGGAGCCCAGAUAUGCGGUUUACCCGAUACGCGCGUCGCUCCAGCUCCUCUUCAACUGCUUCCGACGUCACCCCGAGGAGCCCGUCUCCAAUUAACUAGGUGCCGGAAAAGAGCGGGACCGACGCACUGCCGGAAUUAUCGGGGGGUUUUUUCGCGCUCAAUUGUCGUUAGGUAGGCCAUAUGGCAUGGCUCAAACGUGGCUUAUAUGCUUUUAGGCGUUGUAAGCUAACGGAUGCGAUCAUACCAACUCACAUGCACCGGAUCCCAUCAGAACUCCGAAGUUAAGCGAGUUUGGGCGAGAGUAGUACUUGGAUGGGUGACCUCCUGGGAAGUCCUCGUGUUGCAUCCCCUCUUUUUGUCUUUUUGACGUUUCAAUUGUCGUGGGCGUUUGCUUUCCGUCGUCUUAUUCAUCUGGCUGUCUCUGUUUUUCCACGACCCCGUGACGCAGCGUGGCAAUCGGGGGUAAAGUACGCUUAAACACUCGUCGAAAGCCCGCAAAGGAAUCAAAAUACGAAAAUGACAAAGUUUCCCAAAACUGAAUUUCGCCCCAGCAAACGGCGUCGGAUGCCCGAAAAAGCCCGUCGGUCAUGGCAGCGCAAUGAGUUUUGCUCGUGACGCCGUUCUCUUCAAAUCGACUGCUCGCGGGCCUAAUUCUGAGGUCGGAGCCCAGAUAUGCGGUUUACCCGAUACGCGCGUCGCUCCAGCUCCUCUUCAACUGCUUCCGACGUCACCCCGAGGAGCCCGUCUCCAAUUAACUAGGUGCCGGAAAAGAGCGGGACCGACGCACUGCCGGAAUUAUCGGGGGGUUUUUUCGCGCUCAAUUGUCGUUAGGUAGGCCAUAUGGCAUGGCUCAAAGGUGACCUCCUGGGAAGUCCUCGUGUUGCAUCCCCUCUUUUUGUCUUUUUGACGUUUCAAUUGUCGUGGGCGUUUGCUUUCCGUCGUCUUAUUCAUCUGGCUGUCUCUGUUUUUCCACGACCCCGUGACGCAGCGUGGCAAUCGGGGGUAAAGUACGCUUAAACACUCGUCGAAACCCCGCAAAGGAAUCAAAAUACGAAAAUGACAAAGUUUCCCAAAACUGAAUUUCGCCCCAGCAAACGGCGUCGGAUGCCCGAAAAAGCCCGUCGGUCAUGGCAGCGCAAUGAGUUUUACUCGUGACGCCGUUCUCUUCAAAUCGACUGCUCGUGGGCCUAAUUCUGAGGUCGGAGCCCAGAUAUGCGGUUUACCCGAUACGCGCGUCGCUCCAGCUCCUCUUCAACUGCUUCCGACGUCACCCCGAGGAGCCCGUCUCCAAUUAACUAGGUGCCGGAAAAGAGCGGGACCGACGCACUGCCGGAAUUAUCGGGGGGUUUUUUCGCGCUCAAUUGUCGUUAGGUAGGCCAUAUGGCAUGGCUCAAACGUGGCUUAUAUGCUUUUAGGCGUUGUAAGCUAACGGAUGCGAUCAUACCAACUCACAUGCACCGGAUCCCAUCAGAACUCCGAAGUUAAGCGAGUUUGGGCGAGAGUAGUACUAGGAUGGGUGACCUCCUGGGAAGUCCUCGUGUUGCAUCCCCUCUUUUUGUCUUUUUGACGUUUCAAUUGUCGUGGGCGUUUGCUUUCCGUCGUCUUAUUCAUCUGGCUGUCUCUGUUUUUCCACGACCCCGUGACGCAGCGUGGCAAUCGGGGGUAAAGUACGCUUAAACACUCGUCGAAACCCCGCAAAGGAAUCAAAAUACGAAAAUGACAAAGUUUCCCAAAACUGAAUUUCGCCCCAGCAAACGGCGUCGGAUGCCCGAAAAAGCCCGUCGGUCAUGGCAGCGCAAUGAGUGGGCCUAAUUCUGAGGUCGGAGCCCAGAUAUGCGGUUUACCCGAUACGCGCGUCGCUCCAGCUCCUCUUCAACUGCUUCCGACGUCACCCCGAGGAGCCCGUCUCCAAUUAACUAGGUGCCGGAAAAGAGCGGGACCGACGCACUGCCGGAAUUAUCGGGGGGUUUUUUCGCGCUCAAUUGUCGUUAGGUAGGCCAUAUGGCAUGGCUCAAACGUGGCUUAUAUGCUUUUAGGCGUUGUAAGCUAACGGAUGCGAUCAUACCAACUCACAUGCACCGGAUCCCAUCAGAACUCCGAAGUUAAGCGAGUUUGGGCGAGAGUAGUACUAGGAUGGGUGACCUCCUGGGAAGUCCUCGUGUUGCAUCCCCUCUUUUUGUCUUUUUGACGUUUCAAUUGUCGUGGGCGUUUGCUUUCCGUCGUCUUAUUCAUCUGGCUGUCUCUGUUUUUCCACGACCCCGUGACGCAGCGUGGCAAUCGGGGGUAAAGUACGCUUAAACACUCGUCGAAACCCCGCAAAGGAAUCAAAAUACGAAAAUGACAAAGUUUUCCAAAACUGAAUUUCGCCCCAGCAAACGGCGUCGGAUGCCCGAAAAAGCCCGUCGGUCAUGGCAGCGCAAUGAGUUUUACUCGUGACGCCGUUCUCUUCAAAUCGACUGCUCGCGGGCCUAAUUCUGAGGUCGGAGCCCAGAUAUGCGGUUUACCCGAUACGCGCGUCGCUCCAGCUCCUCUUCAACUGCUUCCGACGUCACCCCGAGGAGCCCGUCUCCAAUUAACUAGGUGCCGGAAAAGAGCGGGACCGACGCACUGCCGGAAUUAUCGGGGGGUUUUUUCGCGCUCAAUUGUCGUUAGGUAGGCCAUAUGGCAUGGCUCAAACGUGGCUUAUAUGCUUUUAGGCGUUGUAAGCUAACGGAUGCGAUCAUACCAACUCACAUGCACCGGAUCCCAUCAGAACUCCGAAGUUGAGCGAGUUUGGGCGAGAGUAGUACUAGGAUGGGUGACCUCCUGGGAAGUCCUCGUGUUGCAUCCCCUCUUUUUGUCUUUUUGACGUUUCAAUUGUCGUGGGCGUUUGCUUUCUGUCGUCUUAUUCAUCUGGCUGUCUCUGUUUUUCCACGACCCCGUGACGCAGCGUGGCAAUCGGGGGUAAAGUACGCUUAAACACUCGUCGAAACCCCGCAAAGGAAUCAAAAUACGAAAAUGACAAAGUUUCCCAAAACUGAAUUUCGCCCCAGCAAACGGCGUCGGAUGCCCGAAAAAGCCCGUCGGUCAUGGCAGCGCAAUGAGUUUUACUCGUGACGCCGUUCUCUUCAAAUCGACUGCUCGUGGGCCUAAUUCUGAGGUCGGAGCCCAGAUAUGCGGUUUACCCGAUACGCGCGUCGCUCCAGCUCCUCUUCAACUGCUUCCGACGUCACCCCGAGGAGCCCGUCUCCAAUUAACUAGGUGCCGGAAAAGAGCGGGACCGACGCACUGCCGGAAUUAUCGGGGGGUUUUUUCGCGCUCAAUUGUCGUUAGGUAGGCCAUAUGGCAUGGCUCAAAACGUGGCUUAUAUGCUUUUAGGCGUUGUAAGCUAACGGAUGCGAUCAUACCAAAUCACAUGCACCGGAUCCCAUCAGAACUCCGAAGUUAAGCGAGUUUGGGCGAGAGUAGUACUAGGAUGGGUGACCUCCUGGGAAGUCCUCGUGUUGCAUCCCCUCUUUUUGCCUUUUUGACGUUUCAAUUGUCGUGGGCGUUUGCUUUCCGUCGUCUUAUUCAUCUGGCUGUCUCUGUUUUUCCACGACCCCGUGACGCAGCGUGGCAAUCGGGGGUAAAGUACGCUUAAACACUCGUCGAAACCCCGCAAAGGAAUCAAAAUACGAAAAUGACAAAGUUUCCCAAAACUGAAUUUCGCCCCAGCAAACGGCGUCGGAUGCCCGAAAAAGCCCGUCGGUCAUGGCAGCGCAAUGAGUUUUACUCGUGACGC